AGAGUUUGAUCCUGGCUCAGAACGAACGCUGGCGGCAGGCCUCAAACAUGCAAGUCUAGGGGGUGUAGCAAUACAUCACCGGCGGACGGGUGCGUAACGCGUGGGAAUGUACCUAUUGGUUCGGAACAACUGAGGGAAACUUCAGCUAAUACCGAAUGUGCCCUUACGGGGAAAGAUUUAUCGCCAAUGGGUCAGCCCGCGUCCGAUUAGCUAGUUGGUGGGGUAACGGCCCACCAAGGCUCCGAUCGGUAGCUGUUCUGAGAGGAAGAUCAGCCACACUGGGACUGAGACACGGCCCAGACUCCUACGGGAGGCAGCAGUUGGGAAUCUUGGACAAUGGGGGAAACCCUGAUCCAGCCAUGCCGCGUGAGUGAUGAAGGCCUUCGGGUUGUAAAACUCUUUCGCGCACGACGAUAAUGACGGUAGUGCGAGAAGAAGCUCCGGCUAACUUCGUGCCAGCAGCCGCGGUAAUACGAAGGGGGCUAGCGUUGUUCGGAAUUACUGGGCGUAAAGCGCGCGCAGGCGGCUAUCCAAGUCAGUGGUGAAAGCCCGGAGCUUAACUCCGGAACUGCCAUUGAAACUGUUUAGCUGGAGUAUGAGAGAGGUGAGUGGAAUUCCCAGUGUAGAGGUGAAAUCCGUAGAUAUUGGGAAGAACACCGGUGGCGAAGGCGGCUCACUGGCUCAUUACUGACGCUCAUGCGCGACAGCGUGGGGAUCAAACAGGAUUAGAUACCCUAGUAGUCC
rnacentral:rRNA from 1 species